GCCCGGGAGCGUAGGUGUGCGCAUGCGCCCUUCGGUCCGCGUGAGACCCUGGCCCGGUCCCAGGGGCGUCAGGGCGGAGUGAGCAGAGGGUUUCUGCAGCUUGGCCUGACCCGUAAGUCCUCAUCUGUGCCUUUUAAAAUGCCGUUGGUAGUCUGCUAAAUUUUUAUAUCCCCAGUUCCAGUCUCGUACGUCUACCACGGCCUUUUGAGCCCAACACGUCUUAAACAGACUUGCUUCUCCGUGGUUCUCAGUGACCAAAACAGCUGGACGGAGCGAAACCUGGCGGCCCUCCUGCCGCGACAGCGACACUGACCGGGCCGCGACUCACGGCCGUGCCCGGCCCUGGAACUUCUGCACCCCCGUCCUAAAUGAUGGUCUCCCCGUUUCCAAGCCCUCCUCACAAAUCCUUUAUCCACACACCUGCUGCAACGAACUUUUAAAGACAGUUGGCUAAAUUCACUCUUGCUUCAAGCCCUCCGGUAGGUCCCCGUCACAACACCCAUCGAGACUGAACUUUAUUGUGUCUUCCAAGGCCUGGUGUGAUCUGCUUUUCUCGACACGUUUAUCCACCACAGAUUGUAUUCUCCAAAAAUGGCUGCAGUAAUAGCUCCUAUCCCGCCUCGGGCUUGAAGAAUCUUGCCAGUUCCACAUCAAGAGACAGAGUCUAAUUCCACUCCCCUUCCAUCUGGGUGGAUUGGUUGACUCACUUGUAACUCAUGGAAUGUGCUGAAAGUGAUGCUGUGGCUUCUUAGCUAGCUCAUAAAAUGUAAUCCAACAGCAUCCUUGUUAGCCUUGGAGACCUGAGCCCCUGGAAGGAAGUCUGGGUGCCCCGACGCUGCCGUGCUGUGAAGAAGCCCAAACUAGACCACAUGGAAAGACCAUAAAACGAUGUGAAGGGGCGGGGGAGGGAGAUGCCCCAGCUGCUCCAGUUCCCACUUUACCACAUCCAGCCAUAGUCUGACUGCAGCAGCAGGAGAAACCACUGCCCGCCACACAGUCUCACCCAGCCAAGCCCUUCCUGAGUUCUUGACUCAAAGAAAUUGUAAGAAAUAAUAAAAUGACUAUAAUAGUUGACAUUAUGAAGUUUUGGGGUGAUAAGAUACGCAGCAACAGGUAGAGACCACACCAGGUGGAGAGUCAGACAAAGGCAACUUUAUUUGCAGCAAAUAAAGAAUCACGGGGAAUAACUUCCAAAGCUAUAACUUGCACUGCUGUGACUCCCUGAGCAAUGAUUUUUAUUUUUGUUUACUCAAGUAAUCUCUACACUCAACAUGGACCUCGAACUCACCAUCCUGAGGUUGAGUCUUAUGCCCUUCUGACUAAGCCAGCCAGGUGCCCUUGUCUAAAAUGUUUUCUAAGCAUCGGACUCCCUGCAGGCAGCCUGCUUCUCCCUCUGCCUGUGUCUUUGCCUCUCUCUGUGUCUCUCAUGAAUAAAUAAAUAAAAUCUUUAAAAAAAAAAGUUUUCUAAGCAAUUCACAGCUUCACACAACUCCUGCCUGUACAUUUCCUCAGGAUCCUAUUGGCUGCUGAAUUGUGUUGCCUCAAUCACAUUGAAAUCCCAACCCCCAGUAUGUUUGAAUGUGGCUGUAUUUAGAGAUAGGAUCUUUAAAGUGGUAAUAAAUGAAAAUGAGGAUAUUAGUGUGGGCUCUAUUUCAGUGUGACUGGUAUCAUUAUAAUUAGGACACAGAAAUGCACAGAGGGACAACCACAUGAGGACACAUCAAGCUGAGGGCUGUCUGUCUACAAGCCAAGGAGAGAGGCCUCUGAAGAAACCGCCCGUUAGCACCCUGAUCUUGGACUUCUGCCCUCAAAUAAAUGUGGGAAAUAAAUUUCCAUUGUUUAGCUCCCACAGUCCAUGGUCUUUGUUGUAAUAGCCUGAGUAGACUCGCAUGUAUUUUUGUCUUCUACCUUCCCCAUGGGUCACAGCUUUACCUCCCCAUUUCGGACUUUACCUCCUACCAGGCUCAGAGUGACUUCCU